rnacentral:rRNA from 1 species
GCUACGGGUGGCUGCAGUGAGGAAUAUUGGUCAAUGGACGAGAGUCUGAACCAGCCAAGUAGCGUGAAGGAUGACUGCCCUAUGGGUUGUAAACUUCUUUUAUAUGGGAAUAAAAUGUUCCACGUGUGGGAUUUUGUAUGUACCAUAUGAAUAAGGAUCGGCUAAUUACGUGCCAGCAGCCGCGGUAAUAGGGAGGAUUCGAGCGUUAUCCGGAUUUAUUGGGGUUAAAGGGAGCGGAGUUGGAUUGUGAAGUCAGUUGUGACAGUUUGCGGCUCAACCGUAACAUUGCAGUUGAAAGUGGCAGUCUUGAGUACAGUAGAGUUGGACGGAAUUCGUGGUGUAGCGGUGAAAUGCUUAG